CUGUCAUCUGAAUCCCUGAUCUUUCAACGUUUUAACUUAUAUUCGAUUAUCCAUCUUUAUUGUUUCAGAUUAAUCUGAACCAGAGCAUGUCAUUUCCGUCAAUCCGUCAUCAUCGUCCAGAAGAUGAUGUGAAAUGGAGGAUCAUUACCAUUUAAGGACACGUUGAGUUGAAUCAGAUGUAAAUUUAAUUGGUGAGGGUCUGAAUGAGUGGCAGCGGCGCGAAGGAAGACAGGAUGGCUGGAUCGAAAUGCAACGGGACCAGCGAAAUGAGUUUCUGCAGCCCCAUUCCAUUGAGAGAAGAUCCUCAAUCAGGUUGAACAAUAAUGUGUACGGAACUUUGGACACUCAUUUUCAUUUUGCCAUUCAGAACCUCUUCUCCUCUGCCGCUCAGCUAACCCCACCAUCUGAUUACGUCGUCAAGGUCUUCCUUCUGAUGAGAUCGACGAUCAAUUUCGUUCUUAGUUAAGUGGUUUUUUGUGCACUAGCUUGCUUGGCUUCUUCCCACAUCUAUGUGUUUCAAUCUCUAUCUCUGUAAAUAGUGUUGCUUUUAUUUUUUAACUGUGCAAGUUGGGUACUGAGUGAUAUCUUUGAAAAGUUUUAAAUUUACAUUUCUCUCAUUACUUUGUGCUUAUAGUUUUCCUUUUUCAUUUCUCUCAUGGUAUAUAACUAAAAGCCAUUUUGUCAUUUGGAACUCAAGGAUGAUUAUGACAUUGGAGAAUGGCCAUCAUUGGCAAAAGAAUGUGCUAUAUAUUGGAUUAGUUUAUAUUUUCCUUUUUGGCUAGGGUAAAAUUAAAAGGGAUUUGUUGAAUAUCGAGCUAAGCUACAGGUUGAGUUUCAAAAGAAAGUUUCAGAUAUAACACUAUUAUUCUAUUUGUUAAAUGCAGCUGCUAAACUAUCCUUUUAUCUGAUUCUGACAUGAUGCAUUCACUCAUUUCCUUCAUGCUUUACCAUGAAUACGGAGUAACAGAUUUUGGAGCUUAUAAUGUCAAGCGACUUGAGCAAGAGAUUGAAGCAAAAAUCCAGUGCUUGAAAACAGAAGCUGCAAUAAUAUCGAAUGAUGUGUUAGAGGACAAAUGUGUUGUCCUUGAAAGCAAAGUAUGAUGAUAUUGACAUUGGAUGUUAUGUUUGGCGUUCGCAAACUCAAACUGUCAAUUUUAAAAAAGCUUUUUCCUAAAAGCUAUUAAAAUAAUAUUGCUAUUAUUUCUUCCUUGGCUUUUGUGUGAGUUGGAGUAUACUUGAAUAUAUAGGUCCAUCAUUCUUGGUUAAGAAAUUAAAUCAAUUUUGAUCUUGAGAUUGUCAACUGAAGAAGAAAGAAGCUUAAUGGAAGAAGAGAGCAGGUGCCCUUGAAAGAAAGGUAUCGUCAUAUUGACAUGCAUGUUUGUUUGGCGUUUCCAAAGCCCCAAAUCAUGGUUUGAAAAAAGUGUGUUUCCCAUAGCUUUUAUAUUUAUCGCAGCAUUUCUUCUUGCCUUUGUGACGGUUGGAUUAUCCUUGAAUAGACUAUGUUAUAUUUCCUUCAUUCUUGGUUAAGAAAAUAUAUGCCAAUUAUGUUCUCAGGUGUUGAUUGUCGCAAGAGAGAAGCUGAAUGGAAGAAGAGAGAAUCUGCAUUGCAUCUUGAAGUUAAGAACCUCACAGAGGUAUCCUUUAUGAAUGGGUUCUGCCCAGGUUAGAGCUGGCUGAGAGAAGAACGGAGCACAGUGCAGGUUGUGCCAAGAAGAAGUCAAUGGAAGAGUCAUUCACAAGAGGAUCAUGAAGCUCACUCCUGGAAACAUCAAAUACAGUACCAAGUCAAGAGUCUAGAGAAUGUGCAACUGCAUGUGUUUAGUGAAGGGCCUCAAACAGUCCUCUUUGUGACAGGAGAAUGUGAAAUCAAGCUAGCAUUAAUUUUAAAGUGAUCCAUGUUUAUUUAUCAUUAAAAAGUGAUAUGACAUUGGUGAAUGUCAUAUGUUACAUUAUCA